rnacentral:rRNA from 1 species
AUUGAACGCUGGCGGCAUGCCUUACACAUGCAAGUCGAACGGCAGCACGGGAGCAAUCCUGGUGGCGAGUGGCGAACGGGUGAGUAAAGUAUCGGAACGUGCCAGUCGUGGGGGAUAACGUAGCGAAAGUUACGCUAAUACCGCAUACGAUCUAUGGAUGAAAGCGGGGGAUCGCAAGACCUCGCGCGAUUGGAGCGGCCGAUAUCAGAUUAGGUAGUUGGUGGGGUAAAGGCUCACCAAGCCGACGAUCUGUAGCUGGUCCGAGAGGACGACCAGCCACACUGGGACUGAGACACGGCCCAGACUCCUACGGGAGGCAGCAGUGGGGAAUUUUGGACAAUGGGCGGAAGCCUGAUCCAGCCAUGCCGCGUGCAGGAUGAAGGCCUUCGGGUUGUAAACUGCUUUUGUACGGAACGAAAAGGUUUGGGCUAAUAAGCUGAGCUCAUGACGGUACCGUAAGAAUAAGCACCGGCUAACUACGUGCCAGCAGCCGCAGUAA